rnacentral:misc_RNA from 1 species
GCCAGAUAGAGAAAUAAUAGAGAAGUUAUUUUCAAGAAUUGAUGAGAACAGGGAUGGACUUCUUUCAGCUUCUGAACUAAGAGCACUAAUAGUUGGCAUUCAGUUUGAGGAGAUCGACUUAGAUCAUGAUGAUGCCGUUGAGAAAAUACUGAAUGACUUCGAUACUUCUCGUGAUUCCCAUGUUGAUGCUACUGAGUUUGGCAAUGGGAUCAUUAGGUGGCUUUCUCAAGUACAAGGUUCAAGAACUGGCCGAGGUGAUGAUGGUCCUCACACAAUGAAGUUCCUGCAUAACUUUCAUCAAGAAACAAAGAGAGAGCACGAUUUGCUGGAUGUCGGGGAGCAGAGCGAUGAGGUUGUCGAGGGCGUUGAGGGUGGCAAGGGGGUCUUGAUCAAAGCUAUACUCUUCUUGGUACUUGGAACUGCCAUUGCUGCUGCCUUUGCUGACCCUUUGGUCGACGUUGUACAUAACUUCUCCAAUGCAACUAGCAUCCCGGCGUUCUUUAUUUCAUUUAUAGCUCUGCCAUUAGCAACCAACUCCAGUGAAGCAGUCUCUGCUAUAAUCUUUGCAAGCCGCGACAAGCGAAAAACUGCCUCAUUAACAUUUUCUGAGCUAUAU